GCUCAGGAUGAACGCUAGCGGUGUGUUAACACAUGCAAGUCGAGCGCCCCUCACCCUGUCUACUACGGUAGGUAGAGUGAGGGGAGCGGCAGACGAGAGAGUAACACGUUGGAACCUACCUCAGACUCAGGGAUAACCGCCCGAAAGGGUGGCUAAUACCGGAUAGUCUCGUAAGAGUAAAGCUUUUGCGGUCUGAGAGGGGCCUGCGGCCUAUCAGCUAGUUGGUAAGGUAAUAGCUUACCAAGGCGAUGACGGGUGGCUGAUGUGAGAGCAUGAUCAGCCUCGAUGGACUGAGACACGGCCCAUACUCCUACGGGAGGCAGCAGUGAAGAAUCUUCCGCAAUGGACGAAAGUCUGACGGAGCAACACCGCGUGGUGGAUGAAGGCCUUCGGGUCGUAAACACCUUUUCUGAGGGAAUAAGUUCUGAAGGUACCUCAGGAAUAAGGCGCUGCUAACUACGUGCCAGCAGCAGCGGUAAUACGUAGGCGCCAAGCGUUAUCCGGAAUUAUUGGGCGUAAAGCGUCUGUAGGCGGUAAUUUAAGUCUGGUGUGAAAUUUCAAUGCUUAACAUUGAAUGUAUACUGGAAACUGGAUUACUAGAGUCUAAGAGAGGCCACUGGAAUUUCUGUUGUAGGGGUAAAAUCCGUAGAUAACAGAAGGAACACCAAAAGCGAAGGCAGGUGGCUGGCUUAGUACUGACGCUCAGAGACGAAAGCGUGGGGAGCGAACGGGAUUAGAUACCCCGGUAGUCCACGCUGUAAACGAUGAGUGCUAGGUGUAGGAAGGGCUCGACCCCUUUCUGUGCCCACAGCUAACGCGUUAAGCACUCCGCCUGGGGAGUACGGUCGCAAGACUAAAACUCAAAGGAAUAGACGGGGACCCGCACAAGCGGUGGAUCAUGUGGUUUAAUUCGACGAUAAGCGAGAAACCUCACCUAGACUUGACAUCUCGAGAAGGUUCUAGAAAUAGAACUGUGCCUUUUGGAACUCGAUGACAGGUGCUGCAUGGUUGUCGUCAGCUCGUGCCCUGAGGUGUUCGGUUAAGUCCGUAAACGAGCGCAACCCUUGUAAUAUGUUGUAUUUCUCAUAUUAGACUGCC
rnacentral:rRNA from 1 species